UAGAGGAAGUAAAAGUCGUAACAAGGUUUCCGUAGGUGAACCUGCGGAAGGAUCAUUAUUGAAAUAAACCUGAUGAGUUGCUGCUGGCUCUCUAGGGAGCAUGUGCACACUUGUCAUCUUUAUAUCUCCACCUGUGCACCUUUUGUAGAUCUGGAUAUCUCUCUGAGCGCUUAGCAAUUCAGGUUUGAGGAUUGACUUUAUUGUCUCUCCUUACAUUUCCAGACCUAUGUUUCUUUAUAUACCCCAAUGUAUGUCAUAGAAUGUAGUUAAUGGGCCUUUGUGCCUAUAAAUCUAUACAACUUUCAGCAACGGAUCUCUUGGCUCUCGCAUCGAUGAAGAACGCAGCGAAAUGCGAUAAGUAAUGUGAAUUGCAGAAUUCAGUGAAUCAUCGAAUCUUUGAACGCACCUUGCGCUCCUUGGUAUUCUGAGGAGCAUGCCUGUUUGAGUGUCAUUAAUAUAUAUCAACCUCUACAACUUUUGUUUGUUGAGUUGUUGGAUGUGGGGGCUCUUGCUGGCUUCUCUGAGGUCAGCUCCCCUGAAAUACAUUAGCAGAACGAUCCCCGUUCAUUGGUGUGAUAACUAUCUACGCUAUUGACGUGAAGUAGUUUGGCUUAUAACAGUCCAUUGACUUGGACAAAUUUUCAUUAAUGUGACCUCAAAUCAGGUAGGACUACCCGCUGAACUUAAGCAUAUCAAUAA
rnacentral:rRNA from 1 species